AGAGUUUGAUCAUGGCUCAGGAUGAACGCUGGCGGUCUGCUUAACACAUGCAAGUCGAACGGAAGUAGCAAUACUUUAGUGGCGGACGGGUGAGUAACGCGUGAGAAUCUACCUUCAGGACGGAGACAACAGUUGGAAACGACUGCUAACCCCCGAUGUACCGCAAGGGCAAAUAUUUAUAGCCUGAAGAAGAGCUCGCGUCCGAUUAGCUAGUUGGGGGGGUAAAAGCCCACCAAGGCGACGAUCGGUAGCUGGUCUGAGAGGACGAUCAGCCACACUGGGACUGAGACACGGCCCAGACUCCUACGGGAGGCAGCAGUGGGGAAUUUUCCGCAAUGGGCGCAAGCCUGACGGAGCAAGACCGCGUGGGGGAGGAAGGCUCUUGGGUUGUAAACCCCUUUUCUCUGGGAAGAACAAAAUGACGGUACCAGAGAAUCAGCAUCGAUUCCCCC
rnacentral:rRNA from 1 species